AAUAAAUUUUAAUCAAUUGGUCCGUAGUUCAAGCUAGUUGAUCCGAUGACCCAAAAGAUAAUUCGGUUCAUUAUCUGGGUCGGGUUUAAAAACAUUGCUGCUCGCUUAACAUCUCACAC
rnacentral:sRNA from 1 species